rnacentral:rRNA from 1 species
GACGAACGCUGGCGGCGUGCUUAACACAUGCAAGUGGAGCGACGAACCGGGGCUGCCCCGGGGCAGAGCCGCGAACGGGUGAGUAACACGUGGGUAACCCACCCCGAUGAUUGGGACAACCCGAGGAAACUCGGGCUAAUACCAAAUGUGCCCGAGCUUCGUAAGAAGCUCGUGUAAAGGUAGCUUCGGCUUCCGCAUCGGGACGGGCCCGCGGCCCAUUAGCUUGUUGGUGGGGUAAUGGCCUACCAAGGCGACGAUGGGUAGCUGGUCUGAGAGGACGAUCAGCCACACUGGGACUGAGACACGGCCCAGACUCCUACGGGAGGCAGCAGUGGGGAAUCUUGCGCAAUGCGCGAAAGCGUGACGCAGCAACGCCGCGUGGGGGAAGAAGGCUUUCGGGUUGUAAACCCCUUUCAGUUGGGACGAAGCUUCGUCGGUUAAUAGCCGGCCGGAGUGACGGUACCUUCAGAAGAAGCCCCGGCUAACUACGUGCCAGCAGCCGCGGUAAUACGUAGGGGGCAAGCGUUGUCCGGAAUCAUUGGGCGUAAAGCGCGUGUAGGCGGCUCGGUAAGUCCGCUCUGAAAGUCGGGGGCUCAACCCUCGGAUGCGGGUGGAUACUGCCGGGCUUG